GGGUUGUGAGGUUAAGCGACUAAGCGUACACGGUGGAUGCCCUGGCAGUCAGAGGCGAUGAAGGACGUGCUAAUCUGCGAUAAGCGUCGGUAAGGUGAUAUGAACCGUUAUAACCGGCGAUUUCCGAAUGGGGAAACCCAGUGUGUUUCGACACACUAUCAUUAACUGAAUCCAUAGGUUAAUGAGGCGAACCGGGGGAACUGAAACAUCUAAGUACCCCGAGGAAAAGAAAUCAACCGAGAUUCCCCCAGUAGCGGCGAGCGAACGGGGAGCAGCCCAGAGCCUGAAUCAGUGUGUGUGUUAGUGGAAGCGUCUGGAAAGGCGCGCGAUACAGGGUGACAGCCCCGUACACAAAAAUGCACAUGCUGUGAGCUCGAUGAGUAGGGCGGGACACGUGGUAUCCUGUCUGAAUAUGGGGGGACCAUCCUCCAAGGCUAAAUACUCCUGACUGACCGAUAGUGAACCAGUACCGUGAGGGAAAGGCGAAAAGAACCCCGGCGAGGGGAGUGAAAAAGAACCUGAAACCGUGUACGUACAAGCAGUGGGAGCACGCUUAGGCGUGUGACUGCGUACCUUUUGUAUAAUGGGUCAGCGACUUAUAUUCUGUAGCAAGGUUAACCGAAUAGGGGAGCCGAAGGGAAACCGAGUCUUAACUGGGCGUUAAGUUGCAGGGUAUAGACCCGAAACCCGGUGAUCUAGCCAUGGGCAGGUUGAAGGUUGGGUAACACUAACUGGAGGACCGAACCGACUAAUGUUGAAAAAUUAGCGGAUGACUUGUGGCUGGGGGUGAAAGGCCAAUCAAACCGGGAGAUAGCUGGUUCUCCCCGAAAGCUAUUUAGGUAGCGCCUCGUGAAUUCAUCUCCGGGGGUAGAGCACUGUUUCGGCAAGGGGGUCAUCCCGACUUACCAACCCGAUGCAAACUGCGAAUACCGGAGAAUGUUAUCACGGGAGACACACGGCGGGUGCUAACGUCCGUCGUGAAGAGGGAAACAACCCAGACCGCCAGCUAAGGUCCCAAAGUCAUGGUUAAGUGGGAAACGAUGUGGGAAGGCCCAGACAGCCAGGAUGUUGGCUUAGAAGCAGCCAUCAUUUAAAGAAAGCGUAAUAGCUCACUGGUCGAGUCGGCCUGCGCGGAAGAUGUAACGGGGCUAAACCAUGCACCGAAGCUGCGGCAGCGACGCUUAUGCGUUGUUGGGUAGGGGAGCGUUCUGUAAGCCUGCGAAGGUGUGCUGUGAGGCAUGCUGGAGGUAUCAGAAGUGCGAAUGCUGACAUAAGUAACGAUAAAGCGGGUGAAAAGCCCGCUCGCCGGAAGACCAAGGGUUCCUGUCCAACGUUAAUCGGGGCAGGGUGAGUCGACCCCUAAGGCGAGGCCGAAAGGCGUAGUCGAUGGGAAACAGGUUAAUAUUCCUGUACUUGGUGUUACUGCGAAGGGGGGACGGAGAAGGCUAUGUUGGCCGGGCGACGGUUGUCCCGGUUUAAGCGUGUAGGCUGGUUUUCCAGGCAAAUCCGGAAAAUCAAGGCUGAGGCGUGAUGACGAGGCACUACGGUGCUGAAGCAACAAAUGCCCUGCUUCCAGGAAAAGCCUCUAAGCAUCAGGUAACAUCAAAUCGUACCCCAAACCGACACAGGUGGUCAGGUAGAGAAUACCAAGGCGCUUGAGAGAACUCGGGUGAAGGAACUAGGCAAAAUGGUGCCGUAACUUCGGGAGAAGGCACGCUGAUAUGUAGGUGAAGUCCCUCGCGGAUGGAGCUGAAAUCAGUCGAAGAUACCAGCUGGCUGCAACUGUUUAUUAAAAACACAGCACUGUGCAAACACGAAAGUGGACGUAUACGGUGUGACGCCUGCCCGGUGCCGGAAGGUUAAUUGAUGGGGUUAGCGCAAGCGAAGCUCUUGAUCGAAGCCCCGGUAAACGGCGGCCGUAACUAUAACGGUCCUAAGGUAGCGAAAUUCCUUGUCGGGUAAGUUCCGACCUGCACGAAUGGCGUAAUGAUGGCCAGGCUGUCUCCACCCGAGACUCAGUGAAAUUGAACUCGCUGUGAAGAUGCAGUGUACCCGCGGCAAGACGGAAAGACCCCGUGAACCUUUACUAUAGCUUGACACUGAACAUUGAGCCUUGAUGUGUAGGAUAGGUGGGAGGCUUUGAAGUGUGGACGCCAGUCUGCAUGGAGCCGACCUUGAAAUACCACCCUUUAAUGUUUGAUGUUCUAACGUGGACCCGUAAUCCGGGUUGCGGACAGUGUCUGGUGGGUAGUUUGACUGGGGCGGUCUCCUCCUAAAGAGUAACGGAGGAGCACGAAGGUUGGCUAAUCCUGGUCGGACAUCAGGAGGUUAGUGCAAUGGCAUAAGCCAGCUUGACUGCGAGCGUGACGGCGCGAGCAGGUGCGAAAGCAGGUCAUAGUGAUCCGGUGGUUCUGAAUGGAAGGGCCAUCGCUCAACGGAUAAAAGGUACUCCGGGGAUAACAGGCUGAUACCGCCCAAGAGUUCAUAUCGACGGCGGUGUUUGGCACCUCGAUGUCGGCUCAUCACAUCCUGGGGCUGAAGUAGGUCCCAAGGGUAUGGCUGUUCGCCAUUUAAAGUGGUACGCGAGCUGGGUUUAGAACGUCGUGAGACAGUUCGGUCCCUAUCUGCCGUGGGCGCUGGAGAACUGAGGGGGGCUGCUCCUAGUACGAGAGGACCGGAGUGGACGCAUCACUGGUGUUCGGGUUGUCAUGCCAAUGGCACUGCCCGGUAGCUAAAUGCGGAAGAGAUAAGUGCUGAAAGCAUCUAAGCACGAAACUUGCCCCGAGAUGAGUUCUCCCUGACUCCUUGAGAGUCCUGAAGGAACGUUGAAGACGACGACGUUGAUAGGCCGGGUGUGUAAGCGCAGCGAUGCGUUGAGCUAACCGGUACUAAUGAACCGUGAGGCUUAACCUUACAACGCCGAAG
rnacentral:rRNA from 1 species